CUUGCAAUCUGCAUAUGCAGAAUUAAUAAAGAGUGAGAAAAACUCUCACUCUUGCAAUCUUUGAUCACUUCAUCGGUAAAGAAAAUAUUUCUUUCUCUGUUAUAGUUUUAACUUAUUAGCUAGUAUGAUUCAUUUGCCUUCUAGAGAUUUUAAGCCGAGAAUGCUCAGUAUUCUUGUUGAUUUUACCCUCACAAAUGCAUGUGUAUUGAAGGUUCUUCACUCCUUUCCCAGGGACUUUUGCUUUGCUUUGCUUUGCAUGUGUCAUCCAUCAGCAUUUCAGAAUAUGGGCUGAAAAGAGUAAUUAGGACUCUCUUGUCUAAAUCUAAAUACUCUGGGGAGAGAAGAGUCACCUCUCUGACUGCUGCUUCUUUCUGCUAAGACAGAUUUGCCCCCGUCUUCUCCAGCCUUUCUUUGCAGGCCAAGCCUUCGGAAGAAAUCCAACCUUUUUGUGAUCAAUGCAAUCAAAAUCAUUGUAAUACCAGAUGCAAGUGUUCUGCACUUUUCCUUAAACAUUCUUAAAGCAACCAAUGCCUUCCUUUUCCCCUUUUAUCUGUUCCUACUAUUUGUACGCCUCUAGGAUGGAUUAUUAGCAAGUGUUGGCUUUGCAAUCUAUCCUGGGUAAAUGGAAUUUGCAAUGUGAUAGAAAAAUGUACUUUGUCACAAAAUACCCUAGAGAUUAAUGCCCUUUUUUUGCUCACAGCACAAAAUCCAAUCUCCAUAGAGUACUUUCUGUGUAAGUUAAAUGAUAAUGGAUUGUGUCUCAUCCCACAGGGAAUCAUCCUUAACCAAACAAAAUACACGUAAGAGAGAGAAUUCUACAGCCCAAACACAGGGAUGGCUGAUAAAUGUACUAUAAACAGGGGAGAUUUGUUUGUGUUUUAAGACAAAAAAAAGGAUAAGGAUAAAAGUUGAUAAUUUUCUCUUAGUUUCUCAUGCAUAUUGUAGACAAGAUAAAUAUAGCAAACAAAAAUAGAGUGAUAGUGUCAAUACCUAUGAAUUGUGUCAAAUAGGCAACAGUAGAAUAUUUGUUAUGGUAAUUUAAAACAGAUAAUUGAAGUAAAAUGGUAGAGCAAACAUUUGUGAUGUUUGUUUAUGUGAGACAAAAUCCAAAAUCUUACUAGUUCUAGAAGAUGAAGCCAGAAGAGCUGCUUAGGUUGUAUCCCAUUUUCCAAUGAGACUUAUUGAAAUUUUAGAGUUGCUGAGAGUAAUUAAGUGUGCAGAAAAGACUUUCUUUUUUACAGUGCAAUCAGAUAUGAUUUUUAUCAGUUCUUCAAUCCUCUAGUUUCAUUCUUUCAAUGAACAGUUCCUCAGCUUUAACAAAACCUAUUGUUUUAUUGUUAGGAAAUUCUGGAGUUUUACUGUACAUCCCAAAGCAAAUAUUGAUACAUGACUUUGCUUUUGCAAAUGGCAUUUCACUGUGGGCCUAAAUGAUCUCUAGGAAUUCUUUUCUUUUUACCCAUGGACCUUCUGUUGUACUUCUUCCCUUCUGUCCUUUCCAGCUGCAGGUGUCAUCAGCAGAGCAGCACAAGCAGCACGUGCUGAGGAGACAGCUGCAGCCUUUCCUCCAGCCCGGCAGGAGCUCCCAGAACCAGGGGGAAUGGAUCGGGUGCCCCAGGUCAUCAGUGCCCCCCUGACCCAGAUGAGAACAUGCCAGCAGAAUGUUGGCACAGGUUAACCUAUCAUUUGAGCAGAGUGGUGCUCUCUGGGUAUCUGCACGAUGGAGGAGGCCUUGGGAAGAAGCUGGUUCUUCAGAACAAGCUGGAUGAGGUUCCUGCAGAGUUGAUGUGACUGACUUCUUUUUGAAAUGCAGCAGUGCUCUCAAGGAUAUUUCCCCCCCACUCCUGGCCUUGUGCAGGGCUGUUGAGUCCGUGUGUGCCACUGUUCUUGUCCCAGGGGGACCGAGUGACAUUUGGAACCAAACCUGGGUCCUUGGGACUGAGCCCAGAACUGAUCCUGUUCAUGACCCACAAGGGAUGAAACUGUUCUGCAAGCCCAGUUUGCAGAGCAGGAGCUUUGCAAUAAUCAGCAGUGAGCACAGGAAUUCAUUCCCCCGAAAUGUUCUGGGAAGGUUCUGUGUGUGCCAGCCCUGCUUCCUCCCCAGUGUGCCCUCCUUUGUGCUCCUCUGCCUCAAGGCCAGGGCUGGCUUUGGCCCUGCCCUUGUCCAGGCAGGAGUGCCCGUGGGCAGUGGGUUUGUCAGCAGUGGGCACAGCUCCCAGGGGCUGUUCUGGCUUUGGCCCUGCCCUUGUCCAGGCAGGAGUGCCCGUGGGCAGUGGGUUUGUCAGCAGUGGGCACAGCUCCCAGGGGCUGUUCUGGCUUUGGCCCUGCCCUUGUCCAGGCAGGAGUGCCCGUGGGCAGUGGGUUUGUCAGCAGUGGGCACAGCUCCCAGGGGCUGUUCUGGCUGGGCACACGUUGGCACAGGGGUACUGCAGUCCCAAGGACUUGGCUUGGGGCUUUUCAGGAAGGGCCAGAAAGACUUUCUUUGGCCACUUUUACCAUUCCUGAAAGUGAAAUCUCUGCACUGAAACUUCUCUAAAUAAACUGUCCAUUUUUUUAUUCCCCUGGAGUGAAGCUCCCAAUUUUGGAUGCCAGGGUGCUGCCAGCUUUAUUUGCCCAGCUGGGAGCAGUGUCUGUACAGGUCCCCAGUGUCUCCUGUCCUUGUCCUUUCUCAGUUGGGAAGUGAGCUGCUCUCCUCCCCUCUGACUCUGCCCUGGUCCCCAGCACCUGCUGAAGUUCAAGAGAGCAGCAGCUUAGGCCAAAGGUGUUCCUGCCCUUUAUCUGCUCCCCCUCCAGCCACGGCCCUGGCAGGGAGAGCCAGCUCUGAGCUCCCAAAUCUGCAGUGCCCAGGCAGGUGACCCGGAGCAGCUGAGAGCUCUGGUGGGCUCACACUGUCAGCUUUGCUUCUCCAUUGGCUUGGCUGGUUCCCGUUAGGAGAAGGUUUGUUUCCUCCACUGUGAUAAUUCAGGGAAAUCCUGAGAUGUGAUUUAAGAAAGAAAGUCAUGAGCUAUUGCAAUAAAUGUGAAUCUGAGAGUGCCUAAAAGCUGUUGCUGAAUUCCAUUUCCAGGGACUGUCCUGGUGGGGAUACUCCAGAAUUGCAGCUUUGAUGUUUCCAAAGGAGCCUGUGGUACUUCUUGUUUCCUGUGCUGGGCUUUCCUUGAACAGUGCCCAGGGAGGGGAGCAGCAACAGCUUCACUUGGAAGUGGACUCUGGUUUUUGAGAACAUCCUAAGCUCAGUGUGGUUUUGGUAUCACUCAGUACUUAUUUUAUUUGCCAUUUGCCUUAAAUUGUAUACACCUUUGAAGUGCCAGCUGUGUUUUGAAGACAUUCUUACAGUUGUUUCAAGUGAAACUUGGAAUGCUACACAUUUAGAAAGAGAUGAUUUUCCUGUGAAUAAACUACUAAAACAAAGGGGGGGAGUGAGGAAAGCCAAGUUCAGGAGAUAACCUUACCAACUGGUUUUGGAAGUUGUUUACCUAAAUGGCCCAAAGUGGUUUGAGCUGCAGCACAAACGGGGGGGAGAAGGAGAGGUUUUGUAUUUUGACAGUUCUUGAAGUUUUUUGCAGGGACUACUGCCAGGUUCUCUUUGAAGUCCAAAGCCCAUUAGCACGGGGAAAUGUGUGUUUGGCUUCAGAGAUAGAAGGAGUGUGUAUUUCCCUUGGAACUAGAGGAAUGUUUCUGUGUCUUUGAAUUUUAAAUUGCACAUGAAGCAGAAAUAUGUUUGUGUUUUACAGGUGAUAUUUCCAUGAAAAUAGAAAUGUAAAAGGAGAAGAUGCAAAAAACGAACUCGAGAGUCAGAGACACAUCCUCCUAGAGGUACAGGCAAUGCUCUCACUUUAUUCCAAAAAUACACCCAUUAUCAAGGGUCCUACAGGGUUCACACGCUCUGUUCUAACUCUCUAUUGGUUACAUUUACUUUCACACACUAUAUCUAUAACUUCAUUGGCUCUACUAGCCAAGGCACAUUUCCAGGCCCCCCAUCUUCUGGUUUCUCACACCCUGGCUAACAACCUCCUUCCUGGUUUUCCUCUCUGCAGCUUUCUGCUCUCUGCUGCUCCAGGCCCCCCAUGUGCUGCUGGAGCACACGGGUCCCUGCCGUCCAGCACGCAGGCUGCAUUGUGCCAGCAGGCCUGAUGCAGUGUAUGUCCUGCAGCCUCGAAGAGUUUCUCAACAGAAAUGCAUCAUUGGAUCUUACUCCUCUGAGGGCAAAGCACCAGCCUGAUCAUUUCUCAGUCCCUCAAACCCAGUGCCAUGAGCUCAGAGGGGUGUUUGGGUGCAAAUGUGGUGAGUGGUGGUGGCCCCCGGGAGCUGUGACCAGCUGGAAAUGGGGGGGUGUGUGCAGAGCUGGGCUGGAUCCCUUGGGAUUUGGCUCCCAGAUCCCCCCCAGCCUUCAGGGAAACCAGAGGCCCCCGACCCCUGAGGGAAGGGAGUCCCGUCUGCAGAAGGGUUUUAGGUUGGGGAAAAGCUCUCCAGAACAAAGCCUGGCUUCCAAACACCUUCAGCAAAAGUCAAGGAGCACAAACCCUGAAGUCAUCACGUUAGGAAGUUUGGUUCAAACCUUUUGCUUCUCAGUCAGUUUUAAUGAAGUGUUAAAAGGAGAACAUAAAUAAGGUUAAUUGCUGAUGGAGAAUAAUGGGAAGAAGUGGAGUGGUUUAAGUUCACUAACCAUGUUUUCUAUCAGUCCAUGGUUAUUUAAUUGAGCAUUGUUUGGAAUUUUUCUUUUUGCAUUCGUUCCUGUGUGCUUUUCUCUAUCUAAGGGAUGGUUGGAGGUCUUUGUGAUUGGUUGGAUGUUUUUAAUGUCAGUGCUCGAUUGGGGUGGACAGUCACUGUAACAGGAUUUAGAGUUUGGUGCACUUUA